AGUGAACGCUGGCGGUAGGCCUAACACAUGCAAGUCGAACGGCAGCACAGUAAGAGCUUUCUCUUACAGGUGGCGAGUGGCGGACGGGUGAGGAAUACAUCGGAAUCUACUUUUUCGUGGGGGAUAACGUAGGGAAACUUACGCUAAUACCGCAUACGACCUACGGGUGAAAGCAGGGGAUCUUCGGACCUUGCGCGAUUGAAUGAGCCGAUGUCGGAUUAGCUAGUUGGCGGGGUAAAGGCCCACCAAGGCGACGAUCCGUAGCUGGUCUGAGAGGAUGAUCAGCCACACUGGAACUGAGACACGGGCCAGACUCCUACGGGAGGCAGCAGUGGGGAAUAUUGGACAAAGGGCGCAAGCCUGAUCCAGCCAAACCGCGGGGGUGAAGAAGGCCUUCGGGUUGUAAAGCCCUUUUGUUGGGAAAGAAAAGCAGCAGGUUAAUACCCCGCUGUUCUGACGGUACCCAAAGAAUAAGCACCGGCUAACUUCGUG
rnacentral:rRNA from 1 species